GAUAGUUCGAUCGAUCGAUCGCGUACGCCUGGGUUAACAACUUCACCUUGCAAGUCCUUCUGGGAUUACAACGCAGUUGUGAAAGUUUCUUAGCAAGAAGGGAGACUACUUUGUUGCUGGAUUUGACAAAAAGCUUUUUACAUCGCAGAGUUAUCCACUGUUUUUGCUCUUCUGUGGAUUGUUUAUCCUUAGGGAAUGGAAUGGAUUCUCGCAUAACCACCCAGCCUUCGCUUACUCUCAUGCUACCUUGCAACUAAGACUCGGCAAAACGGCUACAACCAAAGGGAUGGAAGCAGCCACUGAAUAAAGACUUUUUGGGAUUGUGCAACAAUUUUUGCAGGGCUUAAUGUCAGAUAAGACAAGGUUUGUCCAAACAAAUGCUUUCUGAUAGUUUUAAUGAUGACUUUGUCACAGAAACAAGUUUAAAGGGCAGGUGCAAGCACUGUGAAUAGUGAAGAGUCUUAGGUUGGUUGUGGGGAGUUUGUAACAAGUUUCCACAAAAGA